GCUAAUACCCGAUAUACUCGGUGAUUCGGUUCAUCGAGUACAGGCUCCGGUGCUUCGGGAUGGGCCUGCGGUCUAUCAGCUAUUUGGUGGGGUAAUGGCCCACCAAUGCGAAGACGGGUAGGGGGCGUUAUAGCGCGGUCCCCCACACUGGCACUGAGAUACGGGCCAGACUUCUACUGAAGGCAGCAGUCGGGGAUAUUGCACAAUCGGCGAAAGCCGGAUGCAGGCGACGCCGCGUGGGCGAUGAAGGCCUUCGGGUUGUAAAGCCCUUUUAUGGGGGAAGAGACACGGACGGUACCCCAAGAAUAAGCGUCGGCUAACUACGUGCCAGCAGCCGCGGUACAACGUAGGACGCAAGCGUUAUCCGGAUUUACUGGGCGUAACGAGCGUUGAGGCGGUUCCGUAAGUUGGGCGUGAAAGCCCCGGGCUUAACCCGGGGAGGUCGUUCAAUACUGCGGGACUUGAGGGCAGCAGAGGGAGGCUGAAUUCCCGGUGUAGCGGUGAAAUGCGUAGAUAUCGGGAGGAACAUCAGUGGCGAAGGCGGCCUCCUGGGCUGUUUCUGACGCUGAAGGCGAAAGCUAGGGGAGCGAACGGGAUUAGAAACCCCGGUAGUCCUAGCCGUAAACGAUGGAUGCUGGUUGUGGGGGCUAUAGAUCCCCUCCGUGCCGAAGCUAACGCGUUAAGCAUCCCGCCUGGGGAUUACGGCCGCAAGGCUUAAACUCAAACGAAUUGACGGGGGCCCGCACAAGCAGCGGAGCGUGUGGUUUAAUUCGAUGCUACACGAGGAACCUUACCUGGGCUUGACAUGUAGGUAGUAGUGAAGCGAAAGCGGAACGACCCUUCGGGGAGCUUACACAGGUGUUGCAUGACUGUCGUCAGUUCGUGCCGUGAGGUGUCGGGUUAAGUCCCGUAACGAACGCUACCUCUUGCCAUUAGUUACAUGUGUCUAAGGGGACUGCCCGGGACAACUGGGCGCGAAGGUGGGGAUGACGUCAAGUCAGCAUGGCCUUUAUGUCCAGGGCUACACACACGCUACUAUGGCAGGCACAAUGGGUCGCCAAGCCGUGAGCCGGAGCCAAUCCCCCAAAGCCGGUCU
rnacentral:rRNA from 1 species